rnacentral:rRNA from 1 species
GAUGAACGCUGGCGGCGUGCCUAAUACAUGCAAGUCGAGCGAACAGACGAGGAGCUUGCUCCUCUGACGUUAGCGGCGGACGGGUGAGUAACACGUGGAUAACCUACCUAUAAGACUGGGAUAACUUCGGGAAACCGGAGCUAAUACCGGAUAACAUGUUGAACCGCAUGGUUCAACAGUGAAAGACGGUCUUGCUGUCGCUUAUAGAUGGAUCCGCGCCGCAUUAGCUAGUUGGUAAGGUAACGGCUUACCAGGGAAACGAUGCGUAGCCGACCUGAGAGGGGGUUGCCCCCCCCGGGACCUGACCACCGUCCCAGCCCCUGAGGGACGGCGCCGACGGGUACUCUUCCGAACGGGGCGAAAGCCUGCCGAAGCAGCGCCGGGUGGUUGAAGAGGGUCUUCGGUUCGUAAAACUCUGUUAUUGGGGAAGACCAAUUUUGUAGUAACUAUGCACGUCUUGACGGUACCUAAUCAGAAAGCCACGGCUAACUACGUG